rnacentral:rRNA from 1 species
CGGACGGGUGAGUAACGCGUGGAUAACCUGCCUCACACAGGGGGAUAACAGUUAGAAAUGACUGCUAAUACCGCAUAAGCGCACGGUACCGCAUGGUACAGUGUGAAAAACUCCGGUGGUGUGAGAUGGAUCCGCGUCUGAUUAGGUAGUUGGUGAGGUAACGGCCCACCAAGCCGACGAUCAGUAGCCGACCUGAGAGGGUGACCGGCCACAUUGGGAUUGAGACACGGCCCAA